rnacentral:rRNA from 1 species
GGGCCCGCACAAGCGGUGGAGCAUGUGGUUUAAUUCGAUGAUACGCGAGGAACCUUACCAGGGCUUAAAUGUAAGUUGCAUAGAUCAGAGAUGGUCUUUUCUUCGGACUACUUACAAGGUGCUGCAUGGUUGUCGUCAGCUCGUGCCGUGAGGUGUCAGGUUAAGUCCUAUAACGAGCGCAACCCACGUCUUUAGUUGCCAGCACAUUAUGGUGGGAACUCUAAGGAGACUGCCGGUGACAAACCGUGAGGAAGGUGGGGAUGACGUCAAAUCAUCACGGCCCUUACGUCCUGGGCUACACACGUGCUACAAUGGCCGGUACAGAGAGCAGCCACUACGCGAGUAGGAG